UACGUAGGGUGCAAGCGUUUAAUCGGAAUUACUGGGCGUAAAGCGUGCGCAGGCGGUUUUGUAAGUCUGUCGUGAAAUCCCCGGGCUCAACCUGGGAAUUGCGAUGGAGACUGCAAGGCUAGAAUCUGGCAGAGGGGGGGUAGAAUUCCACGUGUAGCAGUGAAAUGCGUAGAAAUGUGGAGGAACACCGAUGGCGAAGGCAGCCCCCCUGGGUCAAGAUUGACGCUCAUGCACGAAAGGCGUGGGGAGCAACAGG
rnacentral:rRNA from 1 species